rnacentral:tRNA from 1 species
ACCUGAUUGGCUCAAUUUGUAGAGCAUGGGACUCUUGAUCUUGGGUUCAUGGAUUCAAGCCCCUCAUUGGGUA